rnacentral:rRNA from 1 species
GAUGAACGCUGGCGGCGUGCCUAAUACAUGCAAGUCGAGCGAAGCGGGGACGGGUGAGUAACACGUGGAAAAACCGCCAUAUGACGGGGAUAAAAUCGGGAAACCGGACCUAAACCCGAAACUUAACCAUUGAUCCGGGCUGCAUUAGCUAGUUGGGAGGGUAACGGCUUACAAAGGCAACGAUGCAUAGCCGACCCGAGAGGGUGAUCGGCCACACUGGAACUGAGACACGGUCCAGACUCCUACGGGAGGCAGCAGUAGGGAAUCUUCCGCAAUGGGCGAAAGCCUGACGGAGCAACGCCGCGUGAGUGAUGAAGGUCUUCGGAUCGUAAAACUCUUUUAUUAGGGAAGCGGUACCUAAUCAGAAAGCCACGGCUAACUACGUGCCAGCAGCCGCGGUAAUAC